CCGCCGCCGCCGCGCCCCGCCGCUCGCUUUUCCUUUCCGUCGCCAAGAUGGCGGAGUACGACCUGACCACCAAGAUCGCGCACUUCUUGGACCGGCAUUUGGUCUUCCCGCUGCUAGAGUUCCUCUCCGUCAAGGAGAUAUACAAUGAAAAAGAGCUACUCCAAGGAAAACUGGAUCUCCUUAGUGAUACUAACAUGGUGGAUUUUGCUAUGGAUGUGUACAAAAAUCUUUAUUCAGAUGAAAUUCCACAUGCUUUGCGUGAAAAGAGAACAACUGUUGUUGCACAGCUGAAGCAGCUUCAAGCUGAAACUGAACCUAUUGUCAAGAUGUUUGAGGAUCCAGAGACUACAAGGCAAAUGCAGUCCACUAGGGACGGUCGGAUGCUGUUUGACUAUUUAGCUGAGAAGCAUGGAUUCAGGCAGGAGUACCUAGAUACACUCUACAGGUAUGCAAAAUUCCAAUAUGAAUGUGGUAAUUACUCGGGAGCUGCGGAAUAUCUCUACUUCUUUAGAGUUCUGGUUCCAGCAACAGACAGAAAUGCUUUGAGUUCACUUUGGGGAAAACUGGCAUCUGAAAUUCUGAUGCAGAAUUGGGAUGCAGCCAUGGAAGAUCUCACAAGACUGAAGGAGACAAUAGAUAAUAAUUCGGUCAGCUCUCCGCUGCAGUCUCUUCAGCAAAGAACGUGGCUCAUCCACUGGUCUUUGUUCGUCUUUUUUAAUCAUCCUAAAGGGAGGGACAAUAUCAUCGACCUGUUUCUCUAUCAACCACAGUAUCUCAAUGCAAUUCAGACAAUGUGCCCACAUAUCCUCAGAUAUCUGACUACUGCAGUUAUAACAAAUAAGGACGUUCGAAAACGUAGACAAGUGCUGAAAGAUCUAGUCAAAGUUAUUCAGCAGGAGUCCUACACAUACAGGGACCCUAUCACAGAAUUUGUGGAAUGCUUAUAUGUCAAUUUUGAUUUUGAUGGUGCACAGAAGAAGUUGAGAGAGUGUGAAACAGUGCUUGUGAAUGAUUUCUUCUUGGUGGCAUGCCUUGAGGACUUCAUUGAGAAUGCACGUCUCUUUAUAUUUGAGACUUUUUGUCGCAUCCAUCAGUGUAUCAGCAUUGGUAUGUUGGCAGAUAAACUAAAUAUGACUCCUGAAGAAGCAGAAAGAUGGAUUGUCAAUCUAAUUCGAAAUGCACGACUAGACGCCAAAUUGGAUUCUAAGCUGGGCCAUGUAGUCAUGGGCAACAAUGCAGUCUCACCUUAUCAACAAGUGAUUGAAAAGACCAAAAGCCUGUCUUUUCGUAGUCAAAUGUUGGCUAUGAACAUUGAGAAGAAAUUGAAUCAGAGUGGUAGGUCUGAGGCACCUAACUGGGCUACUCAAGAUUCUGGCUUCUAUUGAAAUAUUUCUGCAGAGGGGGGAAAAAAAAUCAGCUUUCAUUUGAAUAAAUAGCACAAAAAUAUAACUUUUUUGAGAAAAGGGAAGAAAGGUAGAAGAUGGAGAAAUACUGUACUUCCUCUGCUGCAAGACUCUUUGAACUACGUUGUUUUAUUUUUUCAGUAAAUUUGUUGAACAGUUACAAUGUUAUAUUGUCAAGUUUUCUGUCUUUUGUAGAAAAUAAAGAUUGUAGUUUCAUCUUCAAACAAGCAUAAUGUAUAAAGUUAAGAUUCUCAGACAAGCUGUGUGUCAAAUUUGUAAUUUUUUAAAUAAAAUUUUUAAUAGUUUCAGUAAA